UUCCAUUGGGCGUGCCAAAAUAUGUUGCCACAAAAUUUUGUCCAACACACGAAGGUCUGAGAGAUCCGCCGAACUCUAGUGCAAUUUCUAAAAAUCGGUUCAGGGUGUGCCCGUUAGUUCAAUCCUGCAACUAACAAGGAUGAUAGGAAUAAUCAAAACAUUGAACCAAUUGACCAAUACUGAUAUAGUGGUAGAUGCAGGUCUGAAGGUUUAAGCAUAUGUUGGCUGGAGGUCCGACGUAGGUAGAUUAAAAUGUACAUCAGCUAAUGAAUCGAUAAUAUGAUAACUAAAGCUUAGAAUAAUGCGGCUAGAACUCCGAUGAAUAUUGCAUAAAAACCUAUCGACUUAGUAGAAGUAAACUUAUUAGCAACAAUCUAAUAGAUCGGAUCUAACCGAGACGGUAUACAAUAGGAUAUAAUAGGAAAAACUUAUUUAGCCGAUAGAUCUAUACAAAUGUGAUGGAUGUACCAGAUCAAACCAAGUGAUCAAGCAAUGCAGCCUUAGCCAAAGCUGAUAUGUCAAGAUAGGCAACGAUUUUAGCAACAAAUUAGAAUAUAUCGACCCGAACCGAGAAAUUAAAGUCCUAGCUACAUAAAUGACCGUAUUUCUAAAUACCUCAUUAUCUAUAAAUAGCUCAAUAUCUAUUGUACAUAUUUGACCCAUAGUUGGAUCAUCCAUUUUGAGAACAUAGCUGCUAAAGGAGAGAGAUAUAUAGUUUGUAAUUUACAUGUUAUAACUUAUAGACUUAAAUUUCUGUGAUUACAUUAUAUAGUCAUGCCAUGAAUUAUCACUUUUCAAUCCGUCUUGUAUAUAGUUCCGUAUUCGUUUUUGGUUUUAUCAUUAAUUUCGAUCCCAUUUUCUAGGAUAUGGAAAUGGUUAAAGGUGUUUUGCGACCAUUUCUGACUCUCUUUUUUUCACACCGGUGUGCAUCGGCAAGAGAACGGAGCGGACCGAACCGAACGACGUGCGUUGCGAGCGUGCGUGGUGUGCCAUUGGGUCAUCGGUGGAGCGAGCUAGGUAGUAGCGCACUAGUUGACCUGACCCCAUAUCUUCGUGCCUCCAAAUUUUUCCGUUCUAUGCACGGCAUGGUUGUGGGCAGCCUUGACUAACUGGAGAAAGCGAGCAGCACCGGCACUACCAUGCAUAUAGAUUUCUCCAUGUAUAUACCCAAAAGAGCAACCGCACUAAAACCCAAAAGAGAAGUGACGAUUGUGUGGGUGAUACAAAUAUAUAGAAAUAGACUAGACACUCCAUAGCAUUAUUAUCACUACUAAAAACGAUUUUUUUCAUGGUGUCACCCUUUUAUUUUUAUUGACGGGUUAAUGAAAUAAACACUUGUAAAAAUGUAUUGAAGGAUUUUAGGUCAUGAACCACCAGCAAAAAACCAAUUUUCACCGACGAAUGCUUAGGAGGUCUGUAAAAAAAACUCUAUUUUUUGAAGCAGACUUCUUAAGUAUCCGCCAACGAAAAUUGAUGUUUCGCUGGCAUUAAAAUCGCACAGCCCUAUGGCCCACUAUCCAUGCCACCCACUAAAUCCUCCGUCUCCUCAGCUCCCUCCUCCCUUCAACUUCCCCACCUCCACCGUGCCUGCGUGCCACACGAUGGUGAUGAUGCCACGGCAGCGAUGGCGAUGGCAACGGGAGGCGGGUGGCGGCGGAUCAUGUGACGAGAAGGGACGAGGCUGGUGGCAACAGCGAUGGCAAGCCACGGAUCUUAUGGCGGCAUAUUCGGUGGUGACGGUGCCUGGAUGCCACAGAUCCAGCAGCGGAAGGGGAGGAGGCGGUGGCGAAGAUGACGACAAGCCAUGGAAGCAGUGGUGGCAGUGACCUCAGGCAUAGAUCCGGUGGAGGUGACAGGUCCCAUGGCGUGGGUGGCUUCGAUGAGGCUCCGACAGUGGAUCCUUGUCCAUGGUGUUGGCGAGGGGAGCUCGUCCAUGGCAGCGAUAGACGUUGUGACGGCGACGACCACUCCUCCUUCUCAUCGGCGAUGGAGGAAAGAGACUAGGAGAGGGCAGCGUUGCUCGGCUCGGCUUGUUCAACGCGAUUCCAGAUCUUGCUGAGCUAAGUCCUCCCUUUCCCACUCCACCUAUGACGACCACCGUCGGUGCAACGACAAUGAUGAACAGCACGGCGACGGGUGACGGCGAUGCUAUUUCAUUUGCAUCUGUUAUUGUUGUUUGCAAAUUGAAAAUGGAGUGAAAAAUCUAUGUAGUGCUAUUUGGAUAUGGAUUUGAAUAUGGAUCUGAUGAGGAUUUGAAUUUGGAUCUCUAGAUGUGGAUUUGAAUAUGCAAUAGCUUCUCUUCUCUUAAUAUUGAUUAACUUUUUAUUGGAAAAAUAACCUUUUUGCUGGUGGUCCUCCUAGUAGUGCUGCAUGCGAAAAUCGAAUUUUGCAAUCGGUCGUCUUAGGGGCUCGCAAGCGGACCGUAACCGCUAGCAAAAAUCAUCGAUUUUUACUGGUUUUAGGUCGCUGGCGGUUGUGUCAGCCUCCUAUGAAAACAUAUUUUGGCUGCCGGAAAACCUAUUUUUUUAAGUAGUAUAUGCUCAAAUAAAAGAUACUAUGUAAAGUUAAAUGGAGGAGCCAAUCUAUCUGGCCUUUUCUCUCCUCCUCGAUCGAGCUGUCUAUAAAUACCGACUUGGUUCUAAGAGUUGUCAUAACAUCUCGAUCAGCUGCGACUGCGAGCAGCUAAUUACAGAGUAAGGGAAGUUGGUACUAUACCUGUCUUGGCCGUUUCCUUUGCUGGUUGUGUUUUGUGCUUGCAUUCAUGGCGACCUUCACCGAACGUACCCGUCUCCUCGCGGCGCUGCUUGUCGUCGU
rnacentral:lncRNA from 1 species